rnacentral:sRNA from 1 species
UUGUUUUCGUAUGCCUUGUAGGUUUCCAGGUAGCGGGCAGAUUCCUCCCAGCUCCACGAAAGCAGUAAGGUGCAUUCAUUCACGAG